GGCCUAACACAUGCAAGUCGAACGAUGAUCCGGUGCUUGCACCGGGGAUUAGUGGCGAACGGGUGAGUAACACGUGAGUAACCUGCCCUUAACUCUGGGAUAAGCCUGGGAAACUGGGUCUAAUACCGGAUAUGACUCCUCAUCGCAUGGUGGGGGGUGGAAAGCUUUUGUGGUUUUGGAUGGACUCGCGGCCUAUCAGCUUGUUGGUGAGGUAAUGGCUCACCAAGGCGACGACGGGUAGCCGGCCUGAGAGGGUGACCGGCCACACUGGGACUGAGACACGGCCCAGACUCCUACGGGAGGCAGCAGUGGGGAAUAUUGCACAAUGGGCGGAAGCCUGAUGCAGCGACGCCGCGUGAGGGAUGACGGCCUUCGGGUUGUAAACCUCUUUCAGUAGGGAAGAAGCGAGAGUGACGGUACCUGCAGAAGAAGCGCCGGCUAACUACGUGCCAGCAGCCGCGGUAAUACGUAGGGCGCAAGCGUUAUCCGGAAUUAUUGGGCGUAAAGAGCUCGUAGGCGGUUUGUCGCGUCUGCCGUGAAAGUCCGGGGCUCAACUCCGGAUCUGCGGUGGGUACGGGCAGACUAGAGUGAUGUAGGGGAGACUGGAAUUCCUGGUGUAGCGGUGAAAUGCGCAGAUAUCAGGAGGAACACCGAUGGCGAAGGCAGGUCUCUGGGCAUUAACUGACGCUGAGGAGCGAAAGCAUGGGGAGCGAACAGGAUUAGAUACCCUGGUAGUCCAUGCCGUAUACGUUGGGCACUAGGUGUGGGGGACAUUCCACGUUUUCCGCGCCGUAGCUAACGCAUUAAGU
rnacentral:rRNA from 1 species